rnacentral:rRNA from 1 species
UACGUAGGUGGCAAGCGUUGUCCGGAUUUACUGGGCGUAAAGAGCGCGCAGGCGGUCGGAUAAGUCGAAUGUGAAAGCCCCCGGCUCAACUGGGGAGGGUCAUUCGAUACUGUUCGACUCGAAGGCAGGAGAGGGAAGUGGAAUUCCCGGUGUAGUGGUGAAAUGCGUAGAUAUCGGGAAGAACACCAGUGGCAGAAGGCGACUCACUGGACACGGUAUUGACGCUGAGGUGCGAAAGCGUGGGGAGCAAACAGG